rnacentral:rRNA from 1 species
GCGGCAUGCCUAACACAUGCAAGUCGAACGAAGGCUUCGGCCUUAGUGGCGCACGGGUGCGUAACGCGUGGGAAUCUGCCCUUGGGUUCGGAAUAACUCAGAGAAAUUUGAGCUAAUACCGGAUGAUGACGUAAGUCCAAAGAUUUAUCGCCCAAGGAUGAGCCCGCGUAGGAUUAGCUUGUUGGUGAGGUAAAAGCUCACCAAGGCGACGAUCCUUAGCUGGUCUGAGAGGAUGAUCAGCCACACUGGGACUGAGACACGGCCCAGACUCCUACGGGAGGCAGCAGUGGGGAAUAUUGGACAAUGGGCGAAAGCCUGAUCCAGCAAUGCCGCGUGAGUGAUGAAGGCCUUAGGGUUGUAAAGCUCUUUUACCCGGGAAGAUAAUGACCGUACCGGGAGAAUAAGCCCCGGCUAACUCCGUGCCAGCAGCCGCGGUAAUACGGAGGGGGCUAGCGUUAUUCGGAAUUACUGGGCGUAAAGCGC